rnacentral:lncRNA from 1 species
AGAGUAAUUCCGCUUCUCAUAGCUAGCGCUAGGAGGUAUCUAGGUUGUGGGUGGGCAUCCAGUCUCAAUAAGAGAGGGAACCCUUAAUGGGACUUCUAGCUCUCUAAGCGAGUUUGCUUCCCCUGCCUAAAGGUAAGAGUUGCUCCCUAUCUUAAUCUUAGUCCACAACUAAUUGUGCAAGAGACUAGGUCCCUCCCCUCUAAGCUAAAUG